CGCCGUCUCCCUCUGCAGCUGAAGAAGAAGCCCAAGAUCAUGCAGCAGCAUCUUGAUUAUUGUUUCCCUGGUUUAUGGCUAUCCAAGAUAACUCCUCGAUCCUACAAAGCCAAUGAAUAAGACAUGUGUUCUUAUAGUCCGUAUACAUUGUGAAGGUUGUAAGGAUAGGUCAGGAAGAAGGUGCAGAAGGUUCAAGGUAAGUUGUGGGGUUCAGUUGUAUUUUAUUCGUUGUUUAAUUGGUUUAUUGUUUGGCUGGGUUCAUGUGGUACAUGGAAGCAAUAAAUAACAUAUUGUUGUAGGAGCUUUGUUGAUUCUUUGAAAAUGUGAACUCAAUUUUACUCUGUUUCAAUUAUGUUUCAUAUUCUGUUAUUUACUUGAGUUAUGCUUGUAUUGUAAUUCAAAGAAGGAAAAUGUUUGUCUGGCAAACUCUAUAUCUGAAAUGCAUAAAUUUGGAGCAAUCUAUAAUAUCAAAUGGUUCUCAUACUUUGGCACAUGAAUCCAAUGAUUUGGGUAAAAAAGAUAAAAAGAAGAAAGGAACAAAAAGAGGAAGGCACUUUGAUAGAGAUUCUCGAGCUACUAAUCCAGAGGUCUCAAUUUGGUGUGAUCUCACUGUAGUUGAAGACAACUGUAUUUGUUCACCUCUUU